rnacentral:lncRNA from 1 species
UCUUCUUCAUUUUUCUCUCUUCUCUUUCCUCCUUUCCGAAGUUCUCUGCGGCCAAGAACACCCCCCGGCGCGGCGGCCGCUGGCGGCGCCACCGUGCCGGAGUAGCUCAAGCCCCCUCUUUUUUUUAAAAAAAAAACCUCUCGAACCCUCUUCACUCACUCGUUAUGAAUCUGAGGUUCGUUUUCAAAAAACUCGACGCGGCAAGCCUAGAUCUAAACUCAAAACGGACAGAAUCCUACCCUUUUCUUUCGUGUUUGGCUGGGCUAAAAUGGUUUUGGGCUGGUAACUGGUGAGUUAGGACCGUGUAGUGUAUGGUUCUGGAUUCGUAUUAUUUUGGUUUAUGCCGAUUCGGUUUCCGUGAUCUGUGUGAUGAUUGGGGUACAAAUCGUGUGAUUUGUGGUUAUGGAAUACGAAUUUGUGGUGUUGAAUGUGUUUUGGAUUUUGUUUCUGUUGGUUUUUUUUGUGGUUGAUUUGUACGGAUUUGUGAAAUGGUGGUAGGUGGUGGCCUGAGGGAGGCUGUGUUGGUGGUUUGUGGUGGCUUGGCUAUUCCGGCAUUCUGACUGAUUGGUACUGUAUUCACCUCUGACACGCACAGUAAUUAAUGCAGUAUUUAAAGGACAGAAUUAGGGUAAAUAAAAAACGAAACGCCCCUCUGGGCCUGGACCAAAAAAGACCGAAAAGAAGAAAAAGGAAAAAAAGGAAAGGAAAAAAAAAAUAUAAA